rnacentral:rRNA from 1 species
AUUCCAGCUCCAAUAGUGUAUAUUAAAGUUGUUGCAGUUAAAAAGCUCGUAGUUGGAUUUCUGGCGGGAGCGAUCGGUCCUUCACUCAGUGUUGGAACCUGAUUGUCUCCUGCCAUCCAUGGAGAAAACUUAUCUGGCAUUAAGUUGUCGGGUAGGCAAUCUCCAUCUUUUACUGUGAAAAAAUUAGAGUGUUCAAAGCAGGCUUAUGCCGUUGAAUAUAUUAGCAUGGAAUAAUAAGAUAGGAUUAUGGUACUAUUUUGUUGGUUUGUGCACCAUGGUAAUGAUUAAUAGGGACAGUUGGGGGUAUUCGUAUUCCAUUGUCAGAGGUGAAAUUCUUGGAAUUAUUAAAGACUAACUUAUGCGAAAGCAUUUGCCAAGGAUGUUUUCAUUA